rnacentral:rRNA from 1 species
AUGUUUUGUUUGACAGCACAUGUGGUAGAUUUUGGCAUUGCAAGCUUGUUGCUAGGUGAUGACUACUACAUGAUCUCUGCAAGCAUGUCUAGAACAGUUGGCUACAUGGCACCUGGGUAUGGGGCUCUUGGAAAGGCAUCACGGAAGAGUAACGUCUUCAGCUAUGGCAUUAUGCUCCUUGAAGUCUUCACUGGAAGGAGACCCACAGAUAAUAUUUUUAUUGGAGAUCUAACCCUCAAGCAAUGGUUAGAGGCAUUCCCUACAAAGCUUGUUUGUGUUGUGCACGAUCAACUAUUGCAAAGAUCUUCCACAAGCUGCACUUUUGAAAGCUUUCUUAUGCCGAUAUUUGAGUUGCGUUUGCUCUGCUCCAGUGACUCGCUAGCCCAGAUGAUGACUAUGAGCAAUGUAGUCAUAGCUCUGAAUAAGAUCAAAGUGGAUUACACCAAAUGGCGGAUUCCAACCAGUGAUUGA